GGUGUCGUGGACGAGUGAAUACGUCGCCGGACUGUCGAUCCAACGGUCGUGGUUUCGAACCCGCGCGGUACUA
rnacentral:tRNA from 1 species